rnacentral:lncRNA from 10 species
CUGGAGGGUUCAUACUUGAUCAAAGAGAAGAAAGAGUCAGUAACUUUGAAAACAGUUCAUUUGAAAUUAUUGAGUCAGAGGGAAAAAAAUGAAGAAAAAUGAAGGGAACUUAAGGAGCUUAUGGGACAACAUCGAAUGAAACAACAUAUGGACUACGGAUAUCCCAAACAUAGAAGAGAGACAGCAUUGAGAUCCUACUUGAAGAAAUAAUGACCCUGUAUUAGUCUGUUUUCAUGCUGCUGAUAAAGACAUACCUGAGGCUGGGCAGUUUACAAAAGAAAGAGAUAUAUUGGACUUACAGUUCCAUGUGGCUGGGGAGACCUCACAAUCAUGGCGAAAGGUGAAAGGCGCAUCUCACAUUGUAGCAGACAAGAGAAGAGAGCUUGUGCAGGAAAACUCCCGUUUUUUUAAAAACCAUCAGAUCUCAUGAGACUCACUCACCAUCAUGAGAACAUCACAGGAAAGACCCACCCUUAUAAUUCAAUCACCUCCACCAGGUUCCUCCCACAACACAUGGGAAUUGUGAGAGUUACAAUUCAAGAUGAGAUUUGGGUGAGACACAGCCAACCCAUAUCAGACCCCAAAUUUCCCAAAUUUGAGGAAAGAAAUUGCCAUACAAAUUCAAGAAGCUCAACAAACUCCAAUAAAAAUAAUCUCAGCAAAACCUAUAUAGAGUCAUACUAUAAUCACAUAUUGUCAAAAUUGCAAAGAGAAUUUUGAAAGCAACAAAAGAAAAGUGACUGAGGUGGAGCCAAGAUGGCCGAAUACGAACAGCUCCAGUCUGCAGCUCCCAGCAUGAGCAAUGCAGAAGACGAAUGAUUUCUGCAUUUCCAACUGAGGUACUGGGUGCAUCUCACUGGGGACUGUCGG